rnacentral:rRNA from 1 species
CCUACGGGUCGCACCAGUGGGGAAUAUUGGACAAUGGGCGCAAGCCUGAUCCAGCCAUGCCGCGUGUGUGAAGAAGGCCUUUUGGUUGUAAAGCACUUUAAGCGAGGAGGAGGCUACUGAGAUUAAUACUCUUGGAUAGUGGACGUUACUCGCAGAAUAAGCACCGGCUAACUCUGUGCCAGCAGCCGCGGUAAUACAGAGGGUGCGAGCGUUAAUCGGAUUUACUGGGCGUAAAGCGUGCGUAGGCGGCUUUUUAAGUCGGAUGUGAAAUCCCUGAGCUUAACUUAGGAAUUGCAUUCGAUACUGGGAAGCUAGAGUAUGGGAGAGGAUGGUAGAAUUCCAGGUGUAGCGGUGAAAUGCGUAGAGAUCUGGAGGAAUACCGAUGGCGAAGGCAGCCAUCUGGCCUAAUACUGACGCUGAGGUACGAAAGCAUGGGGAGCAAACAGGAUUAGAUACCCCCGUAGUC